UCAAUUCUGUUAGAUGUCGGCGAGCCGUUAUCACGAAGUCGGAUCGCCGUUAGUGUCCAGAGGCUGAUCUUCAAUUCUGCUCGAUGUCGGCGAGCCGUUAACAAAAUGUCGGAUCGCCGUUUUCUACAGUGACUGCUACAGUGACUACUACAGUGCACUAUUUUGUAAAAUAAUAGUUUGACCCUCAAACUUUAUAUAACUGUACUAUGGCCCAAAACGGUAUGAAACUUUGCAAAUAAGUCCAAUUUCAGAAUUUCUAAAUAAUACUUUGUUAAUCCCAAAACUUUCUGAAAUUAUGGUAUAGCCAAAAAUGCUAUGACACUUUUCAAAUAAGUCCUUUACCAAAAUUUCAAGCAAUACUUCUUUAUUUCAAAGUUUUCAAAAUUCUUUCAAUUAAACCAUAAACUUUGAAAAACAACCAAUUUCAUAAAAUCAUUUUUCCAUUAAAUAUGAAACAUUUAUAAUGUGAAAAUAAUGAUUUAUUUAAAAAGAAUAAAAACAAUCAAUUUCAUAAAAUCAUUUUUCCAUUAAAUAUAAAACCUUUAAAAUGUGAAAAUAAUGAUUUAUUUAAGAUGUAUAAAAAAUAAUUUGAUCUUAAAAGAUUAAUCAUUCUUAAUCUUGUUUGUUAUCAUCAAAAUCAAUAUUAUGGAAACAUAUAUGUUAACAAUCUCCCCCUUUUUGAUGAUGACAAACAUUUCAUGUAUUUAAAGAAUGAUUCCACAAAUUGCUUCCCCUAAAUAUAAUCUUCUUUUACAAUUUGCCAAUUAGCUAAAUUACCAUAUUUAAAUACAUGGAUUUUUCUCCCCCUCAUCAUCAAAAAGAAAAAACUUAAUUGGCAAAAAAAAAAAAUAGCAAUUUUUUUUUUUUUAUAAAUUCGAAAACAUGUAUUCUUCUCCCCCUUCAUCAUAAAAAAGAAAACGUAAAGGAAAAUAAUAAGAGUAGGAAAUUUGUUACCCAUGUUGUCCGAAUAGAAAUUUCGACAAAAUCUCCCCCUAACAACAAGCAUCACCUCAAAUACAAAUUUAGUAAUAUUACUCAUAAAUUAUCAUCAUAUCUCAAAAUCAUCAAGUACUCACCAUAAUCACAUAUCAUCAAAAUCAUCAAAAGAAUAUUCAAAGUGCAUAUUAUUCUAAAACAUAUUAUAUGCUCCCCCUAAAUAUAUGGCCAAUUUAAAAAAUUAACCAAAAUGAUAUUAUCCAAAAACAUGUCAUAUUUGUCUCCCCCUUCACAAAAAAUAGAUAGAUGCAAUCAAAACAAGAGCAAAAAAAAUAAGUCAAUAAAGAUAUUACCAAUUUUGUGCGAGCAAAAAUUUCGACAUAGUCUCCCCUUAAAAUGCACAAAUCCUCAAAUACACAACAUGGUUAAAAACGCUUCCAUAUAAGCUUAAACAAUUAUACCAAACCAACAACUCCAUCCAUUCAUCAAGCGACACAUAUAUAAUUUUCAAAUUCAAUAUGAAUCCAUAUUUAUACCAAAAAGAACAUCUCAAUGAUUAAUCAAGAAGCAUAUAAAAAUAAAGCAUGCAAUUAAUUCAAAGAGUCAUAUUCAUUCUAAGAAUUCAGAAAAAUAUCAUCCAAAUAUAAAUUAUCCAAAUAUUAAACAACCAUCAUCCGUAAUCCGCAAUUAAAACAAUUAUGCAUAUGAAAAUAUAGGUGCAUAAUA
rnacentral:lncRNA from 1 species